AUAGGAGCCUUAAAUAGCUUUGAAAUAAAAAUAGUUCUUAAAUAUAUUUCAGACAUAUUUUUUUCUGAAAUAUAUUUCAAACAUAUUUUUUAUUUUAUUUCUACAAACCAAAUAUAUUAAAAAGCUAUUUAAAAAAAUGGAAUAUUAUCAUUUGUUCCGUGUCGACUGCCCCCUACGACGCUUCAGGCCUUGUGGCUUAGCGCGACCGAAACUGAAUAUCGUACUCGUGCCAAUUGUAGUUCGACGCCGCAGCCGUCCUCACUAUGUUCAUGUACUUAAGCAGCUCUCUUGACCGUGAACCAUGCCUCUCUGUGUAAAUUGACACAAAGGUCAACAUCGCGCUCGUCCACUGCUCAAUCGAGCGGAUAACAUGGUCAAGAUUGAGCAGCCGUCCUCACUAUGUUCAUGUACUUAAGCAGCUCUCGCGACCGUGAACCAUGCCUCUUUGUGUAAAUUGAUACAAAGGUCAACAUCGCACUCGUCCACUGCUCAAUCGAGUGGAUUAAUAUUGGUCAAGAUUGAGGGGGGAAGUGAAACCCCCCAUUUGACUGAUCAAAGGCAAGUGUAAGAUCACUUGACGUGUGGUACCCUUCUUUGAGUAUAUGCCCCAGCUCGAAGGUCUUGAGAGAUCACGAAGCUUGCCAAUGCCCAGGACAAACACACCCCCAAAUAUGCAGUCUUUCUGUCUUCAAUUUUUCUUUUAUUUAGCAUUACGUUAGAGAAAUCACUUGGAAUAGGAGACGUUAAAUAAAUGUCUAUCCAGUGAGGAAGAUUCUGCAAAAUUAAAAACUCAUGCAUAGUUUGUGUAAUAAUUCCUCUGUACCCUUGCAACUGUUGUUCAAUGCGCCAGUUAAACGACUCAAAUGGAAAACAUGAGCGUGUCUAUAAGGGACCCCACAUGCUGACACUUUUGGGUAAAUGUGUUAAGAAUGCAAAUUAAAUGACAUGGCUGCAGAUCCAUACAAGAUCUGCAUUCUGCCUACAAAUGAAACUAUCAGUAUAUCACUUGUGUUUCAAUCAUCAGGAGAAAUACAUUUCUGUAGUAACAACCAAUGAUUCAUAUAAAUAUCUGGCAAAAUGCCGCUCAGACAUGGUAAACUAUAAAAAAGCAACCACAUGUACCAUUCAGUGGCCUUCCAAAAUUUUCGCUCUGACAUUGGACGUGGGGCUCUGGCAACAAAGCUAGGAGGUUUAAUUGACUUGAGUCGUUCAUCUAACAAAGACAGUAUUCUGGGAGACCCGAUAUAGUAUGGGUUACCAUAAGACUGCUAUUUGUCUUACAACUCCUAACAGUAAACAAUGCAUAAAAUCUGCAGGGAAUCCCCAAGCUAUUGGAAAUAAUCGAAGUUAAUAAAGGCACUUGGACCCUUGACUCCUCUUAUUGUUCUUCCUUCCUACAUGGAUUGAGCCGUAUCAUCCUGCAUGUCAUUAUUAUCCCUAUCUUCCUAAUCACACACAUCAAUAGGAUAUUUCACAACUCUGUCUACAAGUUUUCCAGGAUGGUAACACAGGCCACACCCUGUCAUGUCAUUAUUAUCCCUAUCUUCAUAAUCACACACAUCAAUAGGAUAUUUCACAACUCCGUCUUCACGUUUUCCAGGAUGGUAACACAGGCCACACCCUGUCAUGUCAUUAUUAUCCCUAUCUUCAUAAUCACACACAUCAAUAGGAUAUUUCACAACUCUGUCUACAAGUUUUCCAGGAUGGUAACACAGGCCACACCCUGUCAUGUCAUUAUUAUCCCUAUCUUCAUAAUCACACACAUCAAUAGGAUAUUUCACAACUCUGUCUACAAGUUUUACAGGAUGGUAACACAGGCCACACCCUGUCAUGUCAUUAUUAUCCCUAUCUUCCUAAUCACAUACAUCAAUACGAUAUUUCACAACACUGUCUACAAGUUUUCCAGGAUGGUAACAAAGGCCACACCCAAAAUAACCAUUGAAACGCAAAGUUAUUUUGCAUUGAUGCACCAGCAGGGGCAUCAACACAGCAACACAGAGCAAACAGUUUACUACAGACAUAUAUAUCCCCUUGUCUCCACAAUUCUCCUUCUGUAGAGAGUAAUUUUCCAGAAUAAUACAAGAAGAAUCUCUAAAUGUCGCUUAAUUCACUAAAUCGCUUAGGCCUGUGUAUAUUGUACCGGCCGUCACCCUCGUUGAGAACUUGCAAACUUUAUACUCAAAUCUUGUAUAAAACCCUCCUCCGGGAAGGUGAAGAGUCUUGAAGACCCGGGCAAUACUUUCUCUACUUUUUAACAUGUGAAAGUAGCUCUGAGUCUUGCUGCAGGCCUCGGUGUGUGUUGAGUCCGGGUUUUGUUUGAUAGAAAUACGGCAUCUGUCCAUUGACGCUUAUAUGUGGUCCUCGGGGUCUGACGUUUGGGUUCCAGUGUCAUUAGUAUAUUCAUACCACGCGUCGACAGGGUUCGCAUUGAAGCUUAUUCCGUCUUCAUCAUGCUGAUGGGGUGGGAUUUCUGGGAGAGGGGAAGCUGAAGGUCCCCACCAGAGAGAAAACUGUAUAUUAAUGGAAAGAUUAUUUUACCAUAACAUAUUCAUUUAUAGAUACACACACACACAAUUACAUCAAAAGCUAUACAUAUACGUUAAAGGCAAUUACUAUCAUGUUUCACAAAUCAUCGCUAGAAAAGUAAUCUAGCCAUUUAGGUCAAGCCAUGUUUGUACAAAAUAAUGCAAAUGAAUGACAAUUCUAUAUAUCUUACAUACAAAUAUUUGGCCCUCCCUGGCGGAACCUGUCCUGAGCAUGGAUGAUCUGUUAGGAGAAAUGAGAAGAAGAAAAAUUCAAGUUGAAAGUGGCAUAUAUUUUUAUGUCUUUUCUCCCACUAGUUAAGAAUAAGGGCUUCAGCAAAAUAGUUUUUCGACCAGACAAUCAUAGAAUAUAUUGAUACUCCUUUGAAGAAACAUGAUAAAUUCACAGAAAUAUUAACUUAAGCAUACAUUUAAUACAUAAUAGCAUCAUGAACAAUUACAGUACAUGAAAAGUCAUUUUUUCUAAAAACUAUCUGGUCUAAACCUGGUCUAAAAGUUAUCUUAGAAUUAUACAAUUUGAUAUGACACUUACUGGGACACUUACUCCUCCUACUCCCAGCUCUUUCUCCAGCUCCUCCACUCUUUUCUUCAAUUUACCACUCUGACAAAAAAAAUGUUUAUCAAAAUAUUUUAUUUUUUUAUUUUAUUCACCAAUCGAUAAGUUUCUUUCCUUGUUCAGCCACUUCUGUCUGCACUGCAAGGUUGGCAGAUAUUCCUUGAUCCACCUUCUCCAGAAGACAUCCGCCAAGUACUGUACUUGACGCCAAUGUUGACGGCCAAACAGAUCUUGAUUCUCAAAGACAUCAGGUGGUAGAGUGUUGCUUGGUCUUAAUCACAAAGGGGUUGAGGUGUUGCUGCCCUGGUCUUUCUCCAUCAGUUUGCCAAAGACUGGUCAUUUUCCUCGUCAAGAAGGUCCUUGAUAGAAGGAGGCCUGCUUUCUCACCUUACUCUCCCAACGACCUUCAACCAUCCACAUACGGUAGUCGGAGGACACAUUGUGAGUGAGGAUGUUUGACAUUUCCCACUCUGUCGGGAGUGCUGCUCCCUGGUUCAUUGAUCCUUGUUUGCAUUCCUCCUCUCGUCGCCUUUUCCAGCUGUACCCGAUUCUCCCCCAGUUGUGUAGGGAAGUAAUGAAGUCACGCAAACGCAAACUCUUCUCCAUCCAGGUUAGCUGAAAUCGGUAGUACUUGGGCUUUUGGUAUGCACCGUCGCAGCCAAUCUGAUGAUAUUAUCGAGACUUGUGCCCCUGUGUCCCACAAGACUUCCACAGGAGUAUCAUUCAGGACCAGAGAUACAAUGCAUUGCUUUCCUACCAGUUUCACCAUCCUCGUCCUCGUCUUGGGGUUUAUUGUUGUUGAGUUGAGGGUAGGUAGGGACUGUGACGGGUCUGAGGUUACUGGUUGUCCCUCCCGAGUAACCCUACCCCAUUUCCCUGCCUCCUUAGGUGGCAGCCCCUGGCAUAGUGUUCGGAGCUUCCACAGCGGAAACAGUGGCGACAGCUCUCCCCUUGUCCUUGCUGCUGGCAUGCCUCGCAGCCCCUCUCUCUCCUACCAGCUCUUGGUCCUCUCUGUUAAGCCAUCAGCGCACUGAGCUCCGCCUUGACAAAGUCUCUGGCUUACUUGUUUGUUUAGGGGUAGAAUGUGUCGGUUGUGUCGGUUCUGUGAUGACAGCAGCAGCAACUCGGGCUUGGUGGGGUUUUAACUUUUGUUGCCGCUCGCUCUCAUGGGCAACUGCAGUAGUCAAUACCUCCAGGAGCUCCUCAUCGGAGACAUCUUAUUGCAGAGUUGAUCUGAGCUCAUGCUGGAUAACAGCAUCCUGGAGACCGGUGGAGAUUGCUCUCCAUGCCAUCUUGUGGACCUGCGUGCUGCCAUAGCAGAUUGCUGCUCCCUUUUCCUCCGAGGCGAACAGUACUUUCUGUUUCAGGUCCAGGGUGCGGAGGACGAAGUCAUGCGCUGAUUCCUUAGAAACCUGUACAGCAGUGGAUAAUUCUUGAAAGAGUGCAGUGGCGUCCCUCUCCCUAAAAUGGGAUCGCAGCAGUGGCAAGUCUAAAUCAUUUCGCCCCUCCAAAUAGCUUUCGAAGCGAGAGCCCUGGGCUGACGGCACGCACCACUGCUUCUGUGAUCUCAUCAGCUGGGAAUCCCUUCUUUAGGCUACUGCUGAUCUGUCUGGUGAGGGAAACAAAAGAAAGUUUAUUCUUCUGGCUAGGCUCGCCAAUCUGCCCCUGAAUUCGAAAUUCCUUCCUCCACGUGACUGGAGUAUGUGGCAGCUGGUUUGUCAUCUUGAGGAUGGGGGAUCUCUUGGACGUUGCAUCGGCCUCUUCCUCAGCUUGCUGGUAUGGCUAUGGCUGGGUGGGUGGGUGGGUCUCCUGGAAGUUCACUGGUCUUGGUCUUUAGCUCAACCACAUGCUCAUCUCCAUCUAUGUCCACCUUAUAUCUUAGCUAAACCCUGCCACACUGAUUCCACCAGCUCAUUUCAAAUUAACAAACAUACAUACAUUAUCACACACAGACACACAAAUGCACAUAUCCUUCCAUCAUCCUUUCAUACAUGUCCAACUGCAUACUCCACCUUGGCAGCCAGCACAGCUCUGACAAUUCCAUAUCUUGAAUAUUACGUCCACUUUCAUUUGAAACCAGAUUCAAUCCUUCGUGGAUUACUUUCUAUAAAGGGUGGCGUUGUAUACUUCUAAAUUCUUUAUAAAGGCAAGAACAGAGAUUCUCUAUUUUUAAUGAUUCCUGAAUUUUGGGAAACCAAACAUUAUCUUUUACAUGUAUUUGUUCCUUAUUUCAUCUAUAAAUGUGAUAUAUUUAUUUCUUGUAGUUGUGUAUUUUCUUGAAUAUUAUUGUAACGCCAGUGGAAGCCAAAUUUCUAUGUAACUAUCAUGUUUGCAAAGACCAAAUUAAUUAUCUUGUAUCUUGUAUGUACUAUGUACCGGUAUGUGUUUUAAGAUUCUUGUAGGUCUCUUUAUCUUCAUGAAUGGCUCAGCUAGGUUCUAGGCCCUGUUUCACAAAACUAAUUGUUAUCAAUAACAAGUUACAAUUAAUGUUAUAAACUACUGAAAUCGUGGCAUUUGAUUCACUGAGAGAAAAUUUGUCAUACAAAAUUUAGCAUUUAAUCAGGAUUGAUAGCAAGUUUUAUGAAACAGGGCUUAUAGUUUGGGAGAUAUAAUCACAGUUUAGGUUGUAUGCCCACUAGUGAAAUACAAUAUUCUGUUUAUCAGGAAUUCAAAUACCAUAGAAAAGUUUUUAUAUAGAUUGUACAGAUAAGAAACAUUUGCCUGUCAGAAUAUAUGCAACCAAUAUCAUAUAUAUAUUUUGUAAACUAUCAAAACACAGAUUGUAGUUAUUGCAAUUUGAUUUUUUUUUCUGCAAAGAUUUCUUUAAAAACACAAUUUUACUAAAGGCUCUGUCAUCCUCUUCUGAUAAUGAUAACUAUAUGUACUACCGGUAUAUAUUUUUUUACUUCUAGAUUGCGAGGCUCUUUUCAUUAGCAUUUUCCAAGUGGUGUGACCACUAAAUCAAAUAACCAAUGCUCUUACCACAUUAAAUGCAGAGGACCAACACAUUUAUGUGAUCAGGUUUGAUCAAGAUAUCUAACUAUUGUUUAGUGGCCAAUUCAUGUAUCAUGUUUACCUAUGUUCUUUUUUUUUCUUCUUUUUUUUCUGUUUUAUAUAAUUAUUUGGUUUCGAAUCAUUCACAUAUAUAUGACCUGGAUGUUUUUAUAGAUCAAAGUACUUUUAAAAGUCAUCAUGUUUAUACUUGUUUGUUAAUUGAUAAAAAUGUGUAUAUUACGUGCUGCUAUGCGAAGUCUCCUUUUACUUUGCAUGUUUAUUAUUCAUGUAUGUUGUAUACAUGUAUAAGGAAUGGAAAUGAAAUGAGGGAAAGUUUUGAAUAAAUAUUUUAUAAG
rnacentral:lncRNA from 1 species